rnacentral:tRNA from 1 species
UUAGAUGUUGAUUAUAGCUCAAGCCAUAUCCUGUCACCUUAGGUCGAUCGGUACCUCAAUUUGUAUUUAAAAAUGAUUUAUCUAUUUUUAACCUAUUAAAUUCAGUUCCUAAACUUUGUCUAGGUCACACCCAGCAAGGGUACUCCUGGGCAUUAGCUCAGGUGGUUAGAGCGCACCCCUGAUAAGGGUGAGGUCCCUGGUUCAAGUGCAGGAUGGCCAUUCGGUGUUGGGGGUAUAGCUCAGUUGGUAGAGCGCCUGCUUUGCAAGCAGGAUGUCAGCGGUUCGAGUCCGCUUACCUCCACCGAUCGACCUCUUGAAAUCGAAGCUUAUGGAGAUAUCUCUUCGAUGUGAUCUAGAAUUUGUUCCUGAAUAAUUUGAACCUAGCUUCUUAUCAUUCUAUCAAAAUUGUCUAUUUUGAUUUGGUUGAUAUGACGCUGGGCUCGACUGCAAUUUGACUUGCAGAGAAGUUCAGUAGAACCUUGACAACUGCAUAGGUGAGUCUGGAAAAAUAAAGCAUCUCAUGGAUGAAUUAUUUUCUCAACAAAUUAUUUUAGAAGUUUUGAUUUAAUCUAAACUUCAUUAAUUUGAUUGAGAUUAUAUUGUAAUUCUUGAGCAAGAGCCGAGUCUUUAUAA